rnacentral:rRNA from 1 species
GGGUGCCCAGGCGCGAAAACUUUACAAUGCUGGCAACAGCGAUAAGGGGACCUCGAGUGCCAGGAUACAAUCCUGGCUGUCGUAAUGCCUAAAAAGCAUUGCAUAGCAAGGGCCGGGCAAGACCGGUGCCAGCCGCCGCGGUAACACCGGCGGCUCGAGUGGUAACCGCUAUUAUUGGGUCUAAAGGGUCUGUAGCCGGCUGACUAAGUCUCUUGGGAAAUCUGGCAGCUCAACUGUCAGGCUUUCAGGAGAUACUGAUCGGCUCGAGACCGGGAGAGGUGAGAGGUACCUCAGGGGUAGGGGUGAAAUCUUGUAAUCCUUGAGGGACCACCAGUGGCGAAGGCGUCUCACCAGAACGGAUCUGACGGCAAGGGACGAAAGCUAGGGGCACGAACCGGAUUAGAUACCCGGGUAGUCCUAGCCGUAAACGAUACUCGCUAGGUGUCGGCCACGGUGCGACCGUGGUCGGUGCCGUAGGGAAGCCGUGAAGCGAGCCACCUGGGAAGUACGGCCGCAAGGCUGAAACUUAAAGGAAUUGGCGGGGGAGCAC